rnacentral:rRNA from 1 species
AGUGAACGCUGGCGGUAGGCCUAACACAUGCAAGUCGAACGGCAGCACAGUAAGAGCUUGCUCUUACGGGUGGCGAGUGGCGGACGGGUGAGGAAUACAUCGGAAUCUACUUUUUCGUGGGGGAUAACGUAGGGAAACUUACGCUAAUACCGCAUCCGACCUACGGGUGAAAGCAGGGGAUCUUCGGACCUUGCGCGAUUGAAUGAGCCGAUGUCGGAUUAGCUAGUUGGCGGGGUAAAGGCCCACCAAGGCGACGAUCCGUAGCUGGUCUGAGAGGAUGAUAAGCCACACUGGAACGUAGACACGGUCCAGACUCCUAAGGGAGGCAGCAGUGGGGAAUAUUGGACAAUGGGCGCAAGCCUGAUCCAGCCAUACCGCGUGGGUGAAGAAGGCCUUCGGGUUGUAAAGCCCUUUUGUUGGGAAAGAAAAGCAGCAGGUUAAUACCCCGCUGUUCUGACGGUACCCAAAGAAUAAGCACCGGCUAACUUCGUG